GGGGUUGUGGCUCAGUGGUAGUGCAUUCACCUCACAUGUGAGAGACCCUGGGUUCAAUCCUCAGCACCA
rnacentral:tRNA from 1 species